AGGCAGAUGAGGUCAUUAAGUGUAAAAAGCGAAAAGUUUCAGAAGGUAUGCUUGUCGUAUAUCAAACGAAAGGUCGUACAAAGAACAUUACGAAAACAUCACUUUUACAGGAAAGACCUUUCAAUUGUUUUACAAACAAUUGAGAUACUAGUGUUUUUAAGGUCUUUCCUCUCCGCGAGGAAAGACCUUAUUGUUAAGGUCUUUCCUCUCCGCGAGGAAAGACCUUAUUGUUUUUCUCCUGUUUUUUUUUUUUUUUUUUUUUUUUCAUCCAGCAUUUGUUUGACAUGGCCUCCCCUCGUUUCUAUUGGAGUUAUCAAGACCAAAUAUGGACCAUCGGUAGACCUCAUCAUGAAGUAUUACCAGAUGAGGCUGUGUAGGAUUUCAUCAUCCCCUUUAGAAGUUAUCUCCCUUUUAUUGGUUUUUUUCGACAUGCCCCCCCCCCUCGUUGUUUUUUAAGAUAUCAUGACCUUAUUUGGACAAUAGUUAGAUCUCAUCAUGAUGUGUUACCAUAUGAGGCUGCUAAGGAUUUCAUCAUUCCCUAUGAGAGUUAUAUCCCCUUGAAGCAAUUUCUUUCUUUUACAUUUUUCUCAAAAAGUAUUCAAGAUAGAAUCCAUUUGAAAACGGCAACAUGUACAAGACCAGAUGGCAAUGUUAAUUGACAUAUACAAUCAUUUUGUU
rnacentral:lncRNA from 1 species